GACGAACGCUGGCGGCGUGCCUAAUACAUGCAAGUCGAACGCUGAAGGAGGAGCUUGCUUCUCUGGAUGAGUUGCGAACGGGUGAGUAACGCGUAGGUAACCUGCCUGGUAGCGGGGGAUAACUAUUGGAAACGAUAGCUAAUACCGCAUAAGAGUAGAUGUUGCAUGACAUUUGCUUAAAAGGUGCAAUUGCAUCACUGCCAGAUGGACCUGCGUUGUAUUAGCUAGUUGGUGGGGUAACGGCUUACCAAGGCGACGAUACAUAGCCGACCUGAGAGGGUGAUCGGCCACACUGGGACUGAGACACGGCCCAGACUCCUACGGGAGGCAGCAGUAGGGAAUCUUCGGCAAUGGACGGAAGUCUGACCGAGCAACGCCGCGUGAGUGAAGAAGGUUUUCGGAUCGUAAAGCUCUGUUGUAAGAGAAGAACGAGUGUGAGAGUGGAAAGUUCACACUGUGACGGUAUCUUACCAGAAAGGGACGGCUAACUACGUG
rnacentral:rRNA from 1 species